UUGAACGCGGCGGCAGGCUACCCGAUGCUUAUCGAACGGUAACAGGAAGCACCUUGCUGCUUUGCUGACGAGUGGCGGACGGGUGAGUAAUGUCUGGGAAACUGCCUGAUGGAGGGGGAUAACUACUGGAAACGGUAGCUAAUACCGCAUAACGUCGCAAGACCAAAGAGGGGGACCUUCGGGCCUCUUGCCAUCGGAUGUGCCCAGAUGGGAUUAGCUAGUACGUGGGGUAACGGCUCACCUAGGCGACGAUCCCUAGCUGGUCUGAGAGGAUGACCAGCCACACUGGAACUGAGACACGGUCCAGACUCCUACGGGAGGCAGCAGUGGGGAAUAUUGCACAAUGGGCGCAAGCCUGAUGCAGCCAUGCCGCGUGUAUGAAGAAGGCCUUCGGGUUGUAAAGUACUUUCAGCGGGGAGGAAGGCGAUAAGGUUAAUAACCUUGUCGAUUGACGUUACCCGCAGAAGAAGCACCGGCUAACUCCGUGCCAGCAGACGAGGUAAUACGGAGGGUGCAAGCGUAAAUCGGAAUUACUGGGCGUAAAGCGCA
rnacentral:rRNA from 1 species